ACCAUCAGGCUGGCGGUGGCAGAGUCAACAUCAAAGUAUGCUUCGUGGUGUUCUGGGAAAGGCCUUCCGACUUGCUGGCUAUACCAUUCAGUAUGGCUGUAUAGCUCACUGUGCUUUUGAAUACGUUGGUGGUGUUGUAAUGUGUUCUGGACCAUCGAUGGAACCUACAAUUCAAAAUUCAGAUAUUGUCUUUGCAGAAAAUCUUAGCCGACACUUUUAUGGCAUCCAAAGAGGUGACAUUGUAAUUGCAAAAAGUCCGAGUGACCCAAAAUCAAGUAUCUGUAAAAGAGUAAUUGGUUUGGAAGGGGACAAAAUCCUUGCCGAUAAUCCACCUGACAUCUUUAAGAGCCGUAACUAUGUACCAACAGGUCACGUUUGGUUAGAAGGUGAUAACUUAGAGAAUUCUACCGAUUCCAGAUGUUACGGACCUGUACCAUAUGGACUCAUAAGAGGACGGAUCUUCUUUAAGGUAUG
rnacentral:lncRNA from 1 species